rnacentral:rRNA from 2 species
ACGCCGCGUGAGUGAAGAAGGGUUUCGGCUCGUAAAACUCUGUUGUUAAAGAAGAACAUAUCUGAGAGUAACUGUUCAGGUAUUGACGGUAUUUAACCAGAAAGCCACGGCUAACUACGUGCCAGCAGCCGCGGUAAUACGUAGGUGGCAAGCGUUGUCCGGAUUUAUUGGGCGUAAAGCGAGCGCAGGCGGUUUUUUAAGUCUGAUGUGAAAGCCUUCGGCUUAACCGAAGAAGUGCAUCGGAAACUGGGAAACUUGAGUGCAGAAGAGGACAGUGGAACUCCAUGUGUAGCGGUGAAAUGCGUAGAUAUAUGGAAGAACACCAGUGGCGAAGGCGGCUGUCUGGUCUGUAACUGACGCUGAGGCUCGAAAGUAUGGGUAGCAAACAGGAUUAGAUACCCUGGUAGUCCAUACCGUAAACGAUGAAUGCUAAGUGUUGGAGGGUUUCCGCCCUUCAGUGCUGCAGCUAACGCAUUAAGCAUUCCGCCUGGGGAGUACGGCCGCCAAGGCUGAAACUCAAAGGAAUUGACGGGGGCCCGCACAAGCGGUGGAGCAUGUGGUUUAAUUC